rnacentral:SRP_RNA from 1 species
GCCGGGUGCGGUGGCACGUGCCUGUAGUCCCAGCUACUCAGGAGGCUGAGGCUGGAGGAUUACUUGAGCCCAGGAGUUCUGGGUUAUAGUGCACUAUGCCCAUUGGGUGUCUGCACUAAGUUCGGCAUCAAUAUGGUGUCCUCCCAGGAGCAGGGGACCACUAGAUUGCCUAAGGAGGGGUGAACCGGCCAGGUCAGAAAUGGAGCAAGGUCAAAACUCCCAUGCUGAUCAGUAGUGGGAUUGGCCUGUGAAUAGCCACUGCACUCCAGCCUGGGCAACAUAGCAAGACCCCAUCUCA